CCUACGUGUGGCAGCAGUGGGGAAUAUUGCGCAAUGGGGGAAACCCUGAUGCAGCGACGCCGCGUGAGUGAAGAAGUAAUUCGGUAUGUAAAGCUCUAUCAGCAGGGAAGAAAAUGACGGUACCUCAGUAAGAAGCCCCGGCUAACUACGUGCCAGCAGCCGCGGUAAUACGUCGGGGGCAAGCGUUAUCCGGAUUUACUGGGUGUAGAGGGAGCGUAGACGGCAGUGCAAGUCUGGAGUGAAAGGCGGGGGCUCAACCCCCGGCCUGCUCUGGAAACUGUACGGCUGGAGUGCAGGAGAGGCAAGCGGAAUUCCGAGUGUAGCGGUGAAAUGCGUAGAUAUGAGGAGGAACACCAGUGGCGAAGGCGGAUUACUGGACUGUAACUGACGCUGGGGCGCGAAAGCGUGGGGAGCAAACAGGAUUAGAUACCCUAGUAGUC
rnacentral:rRNA from 1 species